UAAAUACUCCCUCCGUCCGGAAAUACUCGUCAAAGAAAUGCAUGUAUCUAGACAUAUUUUAGUUCUAGGUACACUCAUUUUUAUCCAUUUCUUCGACAAGUAUUUUCGGACGGAGGGAGUAUAAA
rfam:Triticum aestivum genome assembly, contig: Triticum_aestivum_CS42_TGACv1_scaffold_642415_T_2BL-0.188585_6BL-0.154060